rnacentral:rRNA from 1 species
UACGUAGGGGGCAAGCGUUGUCCGGAAUCAUUGGGCGUAAAGGGCUCGUAGGCGGCCAACUAAGUCCGACGUGAAAUCCCCAGGCUUAACCUGGGAACUGCGUCGGAUACUGGAUGGCUUGAAUCCGGGAGAGGGAUGCGGAAUUCCAGGUGUAGCGGUGAAAUGCGUAGAUAUCUGGAGGAACACCGGUGGCGAAGGCGGCAUCCUGGACCGGCAUUGACGCUGAGGAGCGAAAGCCAGGGGAGCAAACGGG